rnacentral:tRNA from 1 species
GUCAGAAUGGGCGAGCGGUCUAAGGCGCCAGACUCAAGUUCUGGUCCUUUCAGAGGGCGUGGGUCCGAAUCCCACUUCUGACA